AGGAAGGUGGGACGACGUCAAGUCAUCAUGGCCUUAUGUCCUGGGCUACACACGUGCUACAAUGGCCGGUACAGAGCGCAGCGAGGCCGCGAGGCGGAGCGAAUCGCUUAAAGCCGGUCCAGUACGGAUUGGAGUCUGCAACCCGACUCCAUGAAGUUGGAAUCGCUAGUAAUCGCGCAUCAGCAUGGCGCGGUGAAUACGUUCCCGGGCCUU
rnacentral:rRNA from 1 species